rnacentral:rRNA from 1 species
AUUGAACGCUGGCGGCAGGCCUAACACAUGCAAGUCGAACGAGUGGCGGACGGGUGAGUAAUGUCUGGGAAACUGCCUGAUGGAGGGGGAUAACUACUGGAAACGGUAGCUAAUCCCGCAUACCAUCAGAUGUGCCCAGAUGGGAUUAGCUUUUUGGUGGGGUAACGGCUCACAAAGGCGACGAUCCCUCGCUGGUCUGAGAGGAUGACCGGCCAAACGGGAACGGAGACACGUUCAAGACUCCUACGGUAGGCAGCAGAGGGGAAUAUUGCACACUGGGCGAAAGCCUGAUGCAGCCAUGCCGCGUGGAUGAGGAAGGCCUUCGGGUUGUAAAGUACUUUCAGCGGGGAGGCGUUACCCGCAGAAGAAGCACCGGCUAACUCCGUGCCAGCAGCCGCGGUAAUAC